GACGAACGCUGGCGGCGUGCUUAACACAUGCAAGUCGAACGGAAAGGCCCUGCUUUUGUGGGGUGCUCGAGUGGCGAACGGGUGAGUAACACGUGAGUAACCUGCCCUUGCCUUUGGGAUAACUUCAGGAAACUGGGGCUAAUACCGGAUAGGAGCUCCUGCUGCAUGGUGGGGGUUGGAAAGUUUCGGCGGUUGGGGAUGGACUCGCGGCUUAUCAGCUUGUUGGUGGGGUAGUGGCUUACCAAGGCUUUGACGGGUAGCCGGCCUGAGAGGGUGACCGGCCACAUUGGGACUGAGAUACGGCCCAGACUCCUACGGGAAGCAGCAGUGGGGAAUAGUGCACAAUGGGCGGAAGCCUGAUGCAGCAACGCCGCGUGCGGGAUGACGGCCUUCGGGUUGUAAACCGCUUUCGCCUGUGACGAAGCGUGAGUGACGGUAAUGGGUAAAGAAGCACCGGCUAACUACGUG
rnacentral:rRNA from 1 species